rnacentral:tRNA from 1 species
GGAUGUGUGCCUGAGCCAAAGGGUUACUUUGAUAGAGUAAACUACAGGGAAUAAAUACCCUCACCUCCU